AUUGAACGCUGGCGGCAUGCCUUACACAUGCAAGUCGAACGGCAGCACGGGAGCAAUCCUGGUGGCGAGUGGCGAACGGGUGAGUAAUAUAUCGGAACGUGCCCAGUCGUGGGGAUAACGUAGCGAAAGUUACGCUAAUACCGCAUACGAUCUAAGGAUGAAAGCGGGGGACUCGCAAGAGCCUCGUGCGAUUGGAGCGGCCGAUAUCAGAUUAGGUAGUUGGUGAGGUAAAGGCUCACCAAGCCGACGAUCUGUAGCUGGUCUGAGAGGACGACCAGCCACACUGGGACUGAGACACGGCCCAGACUCCUACGGGAGGCAGCAGUGGGGAAUUUUUGGACAAUGGGCGCAAGCCUGAUCCAGCAAUGCCGCGUGCAGGAUGAAGG
rnacentral:rRNA from 1 species